rnacentral:lncRNA from 1 species
CAAUUUAAUCAUUAACAAGUGACUAGGAGUUGGGCCUGUAACUCAGUGGUAGAGUGCUUGCCUAGUAUGAAUGAGGCCCUGGGUGGAUCCCCAGCACAAAACAAAAUGAGACUAAACAAGACCAAAACAUGAGAUGAUGCCAUUGCUGUAGAAAGUAGUUUUGCCAUUAUAAAUAGGAAGCGGAACCCCCUCUUCUUGCAAGCAGACUCAGUCAGCAAAACCCAAAAGAAACAAGCCAGACAGUGCACAGGAAGACCACCCAGGGACAACUGCAGUCAUCAAACCAGAAGAGUCAAAAAGACGCUGAGGCACAGGAUCAGUUUUCUUUCUACCUUGGUGUAUUGGAGGACGAUUAAAGAGCAUCCUGAAAUGGUGAACACAGCUCCUGGGUGUGUGCAUGUAAGUUUGUGCACAGAAAUUGCUUUUUAUAAUUGCAUAAAAGUUCACAGUAGUGGGGCGCUCACUGGGAUGAAUUAUGGCUGAUUGUCUACACAAUAUAUUCAGCUGUCUGACAUGAUGUCAGUCUAUAGGUGUUGACGUGGAAAAGUAUGGAGAAAAUAUAAAUCCAGUGACUAAACCAGAUAGAAGAACACUAUGUGCUAUAUGAUCUUAUUUGUAGCCAUGUACUAUGGGCUGUGAGGUCUGGCGGAGGCAUUAGAGUGACCAUCUAAGUUUUGAACUAUGCAUAUCCCAGGACUUAAUUCAGCAACUGAUGCAUAAUGGCCCCUCAAUAAAUAUUUGUUGAGCAAAUACUUUGCUAAAAAUCUAGAGUGCUAAUAAUAGUAAUAACAGGAAAAUGGGUGGGUUUUAAAAUUGUCCCUAUUUUCUUUCAAAAAAAUGCUGAGAAGAAGAUUGUGAAUUACACCAAAAUAAAUACUUAAGUUUUAUAAUCAAAUGGACAUCCAGUUGCUGGGCCCCACUGUAUAUACUAGUGACCAAGGAACUAGGGGCCAAGCAGGUUGAACUUCAUUACAGAUUUGUCUUUCAAUUUGCCUCCAGAACAAAUUAGUGACUUUUUUUUUUAAUGUUGAUCUCCCCCAGGUCCAUGCCCAAAGAAAGAAGAAGAGAAGAAGAAGAAGAAAAGGCUGAAAAACUCAAAAUCCUUAAAUUCUUAUAGGAUUAUAACACUGCAUGAAGACAUGAAUUCCUAAGCAUAUUUCCAGAUGACAUUCCACUCUCCAUACAAUAAAGAUAAAUUCA